CCUACGGUAGGCAGCAGUGAGGAAUAUUUGUCAAUGGACGCAAGUCUGAACCAGCCAUGCCGCGUGCAGGAAGACGGCUCUAUGAGUUGUAAACUGCUUUUGUACGAGGGUAAACGCAGAUACGCGUAUCUGUCUGACAGUAUCGUACGAAUAAGGAUCGGCUAACUCCGUGCCAGCAGCCGCGGUAAUACGGAGGAUUCAAGCGUUAUCCGGAUUUAUUGGGUUUAAAGGGUGCGUAGGCGGUCGGAUAAGUUAGAGGUGAAAUCCCGAGGCUCAACUUCGGAAUUGCCUCUGAUACUGUUCGGCUAGAGAGUAGUUGCGGUAGGCGGAAUGUAUGGUGUAGCGGUGAAAUGCUUAGAGAUCAUACAGAACACCGAUUGCGAAGGCAGCUUACCAAGCUACUUCUGACGUUGAGGCACGAAAGCGUGGGGAGCAAACAGGAUUAGAUACCCUGGUAGUC
rnacentral:rRNA from 1 species